rnacentral:rRNA from 1 species
UACGGGGGGGGCAAGCGUUGUUCGGAAUUACUGGGCGUAAAGGGCGUGUAGGCGGCCAACUAAGUCCGACGUGAAAUCCCCAGGCUUAACCUGGGAACUGCGUCGGAUACUGGAUGGCUUGAAUCCGGGAGAGGGAUGCGGAAUUCCAGGUGUAGCGGUGAAAUGCGUAGAUAUCUGGAGGAACACCGGUGGCGAAGGCGGCAUCCUGGACCGGCAUUGACGCUAAAGCGCGAAAGCCAGGGGAGCAAACGGG